GAUGAACGCUGGCGGCGUGCUUAACACAUGCAAGUCGAACGGGAAACCUUUUAAUGAAGCUUCGGCAGAUUUAGCUGGUUUCUAGUGGCGGACGGGUGAGUAACGCGUGGGUAACCUGCCUUAUACAGGGGGAUAACAGUCAGAAAUGACUGCUAAUACCGCAUAAGCGCACAGGACCGCAUGGUCCGGUGUGAAAAACUCCGGUGGUAUAAGAUGGACCCGCGUUGGAUUAGCUUGUUGGUGGGGUAACGGCUCACCAAGGCGACGAUACAUAGCCGGCCUGAGAGGGUGAACCGCCACAUUGGGACUGAGACACGGCCCAGACUCCUACGGGAGGCAGCAGUGGGGAAUAUUGCACAAUGGGGGAAACCCUGAUGCAGCGACGCCGCGUGAAGGAAGAAGUAUCUCGGUAUGUAAACUUCUAUCAGCAGGGAAGAUAGUGACGGUACCUGACUAAGAAGCCCCGGCUAACUACGUG
rnacentral:rRNA from 1 species